AGAGUUAUAGAGCUCCUUCUGGGAUCUGUAAGUCCCCAGAUAUCGGAAGGGACACCAGCCUUUACAGUAAUGACAGCCAGAUUCCAGCUUUCAUAUGAAGCUACCAGCUGCCUUGGAAAGGACCCACAGAUAAGAGCCAGGUGAUGUCUGCAUCCUUCCAACUUAUGGUGACUUUGGGAAUGGCCGUCCAGAGGCUCAGGAGUGGAGAUGCUGCUGUCAGGCACGGAGGAGGUUCAAGAGUGCCUGGACUCCAGCACCCAAAAUGAGCAGGAAGGCCCAGAUGAAGAUUUCUGUCAGGACAUACUUUUGCUCUGAGAAGAGUAGCAAGUCUUGAACCGAGGUCACGGGUGUCUUGAGGUGUCUGUUCCAGCUUCAUAAAUAUUAAGCAUUA